rnacentral:misc_RNA from 1 species
AGAUUCUAGAAGUUGAAAAAUAUAGAUCAGGAGAGCUGAAAGGUCAAACUCCUCAUUCAGUUGGUCAAUUGGAUCAUCUAAAUGAGGCUGAUGGAGCACAUCCAUCAACCUUGGGUUUUGAAAGUCAACUUCCUGAACUUAGAAACAUGGAUAGUAUAGGACGUAAUUUGUCUAGUAAUCUGUUGCUUGCAAAAGAUCCCAGGCAAAAUGAUUUAGACUUGACUCUGCCUAAUCAGGGAGAGAGCCAAACCGAAUAUAGCAAAGUGAAUGGCACAUCGAGAGCAAUACCUGGUGGCCUGACAACAACUGAUAAUUCUGGUGUUUCACAUUUCUCAUCACCUUCGGCAUCAUUUUCACCCAACAGGUAUCAAAUAGAAGGAGAAUAUGACAGACAGCUCAAUUUAUCUGGACAAGGUUUGAUGCCAGUGGCCGAAGUUAACAGCAGUGUGAAGAAGGAUCUUGUUUUGAAGAUCCAGGAGCAUGAACAGGAGGUUGUACAAAUGAGGAAAUAUCUCUCUGAAUAUUCUAUCAAGGAAGCACAAAUUCGCAAUGAGAAAUAUGUUCUGGAAAAGCGAAUUGCUUACAUGCGCAUGGCAUUUGAUCAGCAGCAACAAGAUCUUGUUGAUGCUGCCUCUAAAGCGAUAUCAUACAGACAAGACAUAAUUGAGGAAAAUAUACGCCUUACAUAUGCACUGCAGGCUGCACAGCAAGAAAGAU